UACAGAGGUCUCAAGCGUUGUUCGGAUUCAUUGGGCGUAAAGGGUGCGUAGGUGGCGUCGUAAGUCGGGUGUGAAAUUUCGGAGCUUAACUCCGAAACUGCAUUCGAUACUGCGGUGCUUGAGGACUGGAGAGGAGACUGGAAUUUACGGUGUAGCAGUGAAAUGCGUAGAGAUCGUAAGGAAGACCAGUGGCGAAGGCGGGUCUCUGGGCCGAUACUGACGCUGAGGAGCGAAAGCGUGGGGAGCGAACAGG
rnacentral:rRNA from 1 species